CCAAUAGCGUAUAUUAAAGUUGUUGCAGUUAAAAAGCUCGUAGUUGAAUUUCGGGGUUAGUAGGUUGGUCAUGCCUCUGGUAUGUACUGGUCUCACUGAUUCCUCCUUCCUGAUGAUCCGUAAUGCCAUUUAUUUGGUGUUGCGGGGAAUUUGGACUGUUACUUUGAAAAAAUUAGAGUGUUUAAAGCAAGCUAACGCUUGAAUACAUUAGCAUGGAAUAAUGAAAUAGGACGUUCGAUCCUAUUUUGUUGGUUUCUAGGAUUGACGUAAUGAUUAAUAGGGAUAGUUGGGGGCAUUAGUAUUCAAUUGUCAGAGGUGAAAUUCUUGGAUUUAUUGAAGACUAACUACUGCGAAAGCAUUUGCCAAGGAUGUUUUCAUUAAUCAAGAACGAAAGUUAGGGGAUCGAAGACGAUCAGAUACCGUCGUAGUCUUAACCAUAAACUAUGCCGACUAGGGAUCGGAUGAUGUUAAUUUUAUAAUGACUCAUUCGGCGCCUUACG
rnacentral:rRNA from 1 species